GGAACAAACAACGAAAGUUAUCAGUUUGUAUCACAUGUUGGUGGUCCACUGACGUCAUAGUGUGCUCCAGCAAGAAGACUACUUAAAAAAUCUGCAUGGAGAGGUUGUCGAAUCGGGUCAGGUAGGGGCUCCCGUCCAUUGAUGGUCUGAGGUCUAUUUCAAACAGUCACUACCUCCUCUCGUGGCUUCGUAACGCCAUUGGUGGAAAGUAUCAAUAUCAAAGGCCUCAAGUCAUAUGAGGUCAUCGUCUUGGCCUCAUACUACAGUCUGGUUUGUCUGUCCUUUCAACGCAUGCCAGGAAUACCCAUAAACAAUGCUGAGGGCGGGGUCCUAUGAAAAAGGUUUAUGGGGAGAAUGAUGCUGAUGUAGACUGGCCCUACGAAAUUGAUCCUGGACUGCAGGCAAGUCUUCAGCAAGGUGUUAACUAAAGAUUGCGUCCGCGAGGUAUUAACUAAAGAUUGACGAUAAGUCGUGGAGGAAGAGUGUGUUCCUUAUACCCGUCAUGACCUCUGAAAGCCAGAGGGUCCAAGCAGCUUCUGGUUAACCACCACUAUUACUACAGAAGGAUCACGGACUGGAAGACUUCAGCUCAGGAAGACAGCCGUCGCUUUCUCCGGCUGAUGAACUAGUGGCUGUAUGAUUUUCCUGGAUAGGGGGAGUAUUACCAAGAGAUAUGUUUUUGCACAGUACCCAUAAAGGAGAGAUAUUACUCCAGUUUUGAGAAUGAACUUCUCAGAUUAUUUCUUCCAGUGUCACUGUUUAGACUGCUAAUGCAGAGAUCGUAAGCACCGAGUCUUCUUUUUUGUUUGUUUUUACAUGAACAUGAGACGCCUCAUUCCAUACA